AGAACGAACGCUGGCGGCAGGCCUCAAACAUGCAAGUCUAGGGGGUGUAGCAAUACAUCACCGGCGGACGGGUGCGUAACACGUGGGAAUAUACCUUUUGGUUCGGAACAACGCAGGGAAACUUGCGCUAAUACCGAAUGUGCCCUUACGGGGAAAGAUUUAUCGCCAAAGGAUUAGCCCGCGUAGGAUUAGCUAGUUGGUGAGGUAAUGGCUCACCAAGGCUCCGAUCCUUAGCUGUUCUGAGAGGAAGAUCAGCCACACUGGGACUGAGACACGGCCCAGACUCCUACGGGAGGCAGCAGUUGGGAAUCUGGACAAUGGGGGAAACCCUGAUCCAGCCAUGCCGCGUGAGUGAUGAAGGCCUUCGGGUUGUAAAACUCUUUCGACGGGACGAUAAUGACGGUACCCGUAGAAGAAGCUCCGGCUAACUUCGUGCCAGCAGCCGC
rnacentral:rRNA from 1 species